GACAGAGGUGCCGAGCGUUAGGCGGAAUCACUGGGCUUAAAGCGUGUGUAGGCGGAUUCCUAAGUACCUUGUGAAAUCCCAUGGCUCAACCAUGGAACUGCUUGGUAUACUGGGUGUCUUGAGCCAGCUAGGGGCUACCGGAACAAAUGGUGGAGCGGUGAAAUGCGUAGAUAUCAUUUGGAACGCCAAUGGUGAAAACAGGUAGCUGGGGCUGAUGGCUGACGCUGAGACACGAAAGCCAGGGGAGCGAACGGG
rnacentral:rRNA from 1 species